AAGGGAAACGAUUGAAGUCAGUCGUACUAACGGGGAAUCAACCUUCUGAGGGUGGAAUUAUGGGAUUCGAAGUGCCUUUGUUUUUCACAACCUGCUUUUUUUGGGUGUACUUUCCCGUAUUGUAGGUCAGCAUCGGUUUCGACCGUUAUAAAAUGACUGGAGGAAUGUAGCUCCGAUCUCGUAUUGAAGUGUUAUAGCCUUUGGUAGAUGUAACGGAUGGGAUCGAGGAUUGCAAUGAAUACCCUCAUGGGCUAUCCGCCUGGCCUCUGACAUGUCACUCUGGUGCCGAAAGCUUGCUUAUGGUAUCGUAGUGUACGGUCAAAAGGUUAGAACGGAAUAGAUUCGUUAAGGAUGUUGACGU
rnacentral:rRNA from 1 species